GAUGAACGCUGGCGGCGUGCUUAACACAUGCAAGUCGAACGGAAAGGCCCAAGCUUGCUUGGGUACUCGAGUGGCGAACGGGUGAGUAACACGUGGGUGAUCUGCCCUGCACUUCGGGAUAAGCCUGGGAAACUGGGUCUAAUACCGGAUAGGACCACGUCUUGGAUGUUGUGGUGGAAAGUUUUUUCGUUGUGGGAUGAGCUCGCGGCCUAUCAGCUUGUUGGUGGGGUAAUGGCCUACCAAGGCGUCGACGGGUAGCCGGCCUGAGAGGGUGUACGGCCACAUUGGGACUGAGAUACGGCCCAGACUCCUACGGGAGGCAGCAGUGGGGAAUAUUGCACAAUGGGCGCAAGCCUGAUGCAGCGACGCCGCGUGGGGGAUGACGGCCUUCGGGUUGUAAACUCCUUUCGCUAGGGACGAAGCGUUUUUGUGACGGUACCUGGAGAAGAAGCACCGGCUAACUACGUG
rnacentral:rRNA from 1 species